rnacentral:rRNA from 1 species
UACGACUACAUAUCAGGCAUAUCAAUAAGCGGAGGAAAAGAAACUAACUAAGGAUUCCCUUAGUAACGGCGAGUGAAGCGGGAAGAGCUCAAAUUUGAAAUCUUCAAGGUUUUACCUUGACGAAUUGUAGUUUAAAGAAGUGUUUUCUGUUGAAGUUUCGGUAAAAGUUCUUUGGAAUAGGACAUCAUAGAGGGUGAGAAUCCCGUAUUUGACCGUUAUUUUCAGCUGUGUGAUACACUUUCAAAGAGUCGGAUUGUUUGGGAAUGCAGUCCAAAAUGGGUGGUAAAUUUCAUCUAAAGCUAAAUAUUGGCGAGAGACCGAUAGCGAACAAGUACCGUGAGGGAAAGAUGAAAAGAACUUUGAAAAGAGAGUUAAACAGUACGUGAAAUUGUCAAAAGGGAAGCGUUUGACACCAGCGUUGUUUUCUCGAAAAUCAAUUAAAAAUGACUGGAUUUUGUGUUGUAUUGACUUUAUCAGCUUUCUGCACUUUUUUCUUGUCUUUUUUAAUGCACUUUUCGUUUAACAAGUCAACAUCAAUUUCUUUUGUUGUAAAAGAGUCAUUGGAAGGUGGCUUUUUCUUCGGAAAAAGUGUUUAUAGCCUUUGGCUUCUGCAAUCGGAGAGAUUGAGGUCUGCAGCGUAGAUCCUUCGGGGUUAGAUACAUUUGUGCUAAGCUAUAGUUCUUUAUAGACAACUUGUUGACUAUAAUCAAUCCUGUAACUUACUCGCUUAUGCUAUUUUACCUACGCUUAGGAUGUUGAACGCGCACAGAGUCUC